AGAAGCUGCAAACAGUCCCACCUGGAAUGCUCAGGAUCGAGAGCAUGUUGGUGUUGCUAGCAGGCAACAUCAAAAGUUUACGCAUACGACUGGAUCGAAGAGUUUUGCUUGUAUUGCUAAUGAGGAAGAAAAUACAUCCGGUUCUAAAGUUGGUCGAAUCC